rnacentral:lncRNA from 1 species
GUUAAAAUAAUUGAAUGCUGUGAUAGCAUACAUACUGGCAUGACUUUUUGAGCAGCCAUUCAUAACCUAUUUGUCACAAAGCAUAAUUUCAUGAUAGAACUCUGAUUCACAUGCGGUUUUAUUUUUCCAGCAAUAAAACAUUUGAAUAACUCCUUCACGAAGGCUGGCUACAUUUUCACAAUAUCCAAUCCCAAACUAGAGCUUCAGGAAAAGGGAUCCAGGAAAUGAUUAUUCCACCAAGUAAAAUUUUGCUGAGAGUAUAUGUCCAGAAUGGGCAUUGAACUUUGUCAAGUGGUUUUUCUGUAUCAACUGAUAUCAUCAUGUGGUUUUCCUUUUUUGAGAUGUUCCUGGUUACAUCCUAAUAAACCCACUGUAAGUUGAAAACAUCCUAAGUGGAAAAUGUGCUGAAUCCACCUAGCAUACAGAACAUCCUAACUUAGCAACACAGCACACUGGAAUAUUGGCUGCUUCCCCUCAUGGUCAUGCAGAAGCUUGGAACUGUGGCUGCCUGCUGCUGCCCACCUCCACCAGAGAUGACCAUACUGCAUAUUGCUAGAGUGGGAAAAGAUCCAAAUUCAAAAUCAAAGUUUCUACUAAAGGUGUAUCACUUCCUCAUCCUUGUAAGGUCAAAAAAAAUCCUAAGUCAAAACCCUGCAUGUCAGGGAUUGCCUGUAGUUGUUCCAAAGAUUAACUGAGAUGCUACAAAUAAAGUAAUUAGCAUUUGGCACAAUGACUAACAAUAGCAUUGAAUAACAUGUAUUGACUUUUUAAACAAUAUAUGUUGGACUUUUUUUUUCAUACUGGGGAUCAAACUCGGGGACCUUGUGCUUGCGAGGCAGACAGCAGAACCACUGAGCUAAAUCCCCAGCCCCUGAUGGACUUUUAAAAUCAGUCCAUCCAAGACAGAAGAUGAGAAUGAGAGUCUUGAUAGAAUUAAAAAGAAAAAGUCCCAUGUUGCUUUUGCUAUCUUCCACAGCUGUGAACUGUUGCUCCUCUGCCAUCCUGCCUUGGAGUAAGCAAACUAUGAACUAAAACUUCUACUAAAUGAUUUAAACAAGGAAGAUAAAAAUGUGCACUGCAUUCACAAUAUGAAAAAUCACGAGUGAGGACAAGAGCUGCCCGCAGCACAGAGGGGGUGAAACUUCUGGCCCACUGAACCACCACCCCCAGCUCCCAGGAGGAGACUUCCCCCAGCACAGAGGAGGUGAACUUUCUGGGCUGCCAUGCCACUGCCUCCAGUGCUGAGGAGGUGAACCGCACUGGCGCAAGCAGCACACAACCCUCCCCCAGCCCCACCCCGCCCCAUUGAAAUGAGAAACCGCUUAAACAAGUCUCAAAAUCAGACUCCCAGAUCACCAAAAGCAACCUCAAAAGGAAAUGAGAUGGAACAAUCUGAUACACAACCACCUAGACUCCCUGAACUGGCUACAAAAGAGGAUCUGGAAAAAAUGAAAUCAGAAAUAAUUUCUCAGAUAACAGCAGAGGUUAUGCGCAUAGUGCAAGACAUGAUUAACAAAUCUAGAGAGGAGCUCAGGAACAUGAUGGAAUCCUAACAUAGGAAACAAAUGGAAUCCAUAAAAUAGAUGCAAACAGAUUUCCAGGAGAUGAAAAUCUCCACUGAAAGUUUAUGGAGCAGAAUGAGCCAAUGUGAGGACAGAAUUUCAGAUAUAGAAGAUAAGAUUGCAAUUAGUGACCAGGAAAAGAAAAAUUCCUUUAAAAUUGUAAGGGAGCAUGAGAAAUCAAUCCAGCAGCUGCUAGACAAUGCAAAGAAGAAUAACAUAAGACUUAUUGGAGUCAAUGAAGAAACAGGAGAGAGUGCAGAUGACACAAAAAACUGUUCACAGAAGUGAUGGCAGAAAACUUCCCAAGCAGGGGAAAAGAACUUGACAUACAGAUAAGUGAGGCAUAUAGAACUCCAACUAGCUUUGAUUAAAUAUUGAUCUUCUGGAUAAAUCUGUAAGUUUUGUCCAGUCCAUAGACCUUUUCCUCUACAAAAUACAAUGGAAAAUCUGUGAUAGAAAUAUAUUAUCCAAUAAGCUUUGAUUUGGAGUCAACCCUCCCAUGAUAAUAUUUCAAUAAGAAAAAGUAAAUAAGAUAAAUCAUAUAAGAGGAAGAGGUGACAUUUCAUAUCAUUAUUUGCAGGCACCAGGUUUUCAGGUAGAUACUUCUCAGUCUCUUUCUCAUUUAAUAAUUUAAUGAAAGAAGAUCUUUUUUUUAGGAAGGUAAACUCAGUGUGAUAGUCAAGAUCCCAGAUAAUAAGUUAAGGCUAUUAUUUCUCAUAUCCUGUUGAAAUAUAAUGCAGAUGGUAUGGAAACCAGAGUCAAGGAAUCAAAAGAAUAUUCAAAUGUAGGGACAUCAAUAUUUUAAGUCUUAAUGACAGAGCAUAUGUUCUUUGCUCCUCUUCCUUUGUAUAGUCAACAUGAAAUAAUAGUCAUGGAGAAGGUAGGUUUCCCAUCUCUACUAAGGUGCUCAAUUUAUUUUGUUGUUUGUAUUUAUUUUUGAGAGGUGCUGCCUGAAUGGGGAUUUUGUUCAAUAUCAUAGGAACUUAUUUGUUGUAUAGUAUUUCACAGAAUAAAAAGCUCUUAGAGUGAAAAAAAAAAAGAAUUUAAGGAAAAAAGAGAGUGAGAGAGAUUGAAGAUGAUAUCAGAAAAUGGAAAGACAUCCCUUGGUCUUGGGUAGAAAGAAUCAACACAGUGAAAAUGGCCAUACUUCCAAAAUUGCUAUAUAGAUUCAAUGCAAUCCCAAUUGAAAUCCCAGAAGCAUACUUCAUGGACCUUGAGAAAACAAUCCAAAAAUUCAUUUGGAACAAGAAGAGACCUAGAAUAGCAAAAGCAAUUGUAGGCAACAGGGAUAUGGCAGGAGGUAUCACAACUCCCAACUUGAAACUAUACUACAAAGCUACUGUGAUAAAACAGCAUGGUACUGGCAAAGAAACAGACCUGAGGACUGGUGGAACAGAUUAGAAGAUGCAGAAACAGUUCCAGAUACACUCAGCCACCUCAUCUUAGACAAAGGAACCAAACACCCUCACUGGAGGAAAGAUAGCCUCUUUAAUAAAUGGUGCUGGGAAAAUUGGGUUUCAACUUACCAAAGAUUAAAACUAGACCUAUAUCUCUCACCAUGCACUAAACUAAAAUUGAAAUGGAUUAAAGAUCUAAAUAUUAAAACAGAACUGGCUGGAACAGAACUCUUGAAGGUAGAACUCUUGAAAACAUUGGUGUAGGAAAAGAUUUUAUGAACAAAACCUCAGUUGCCCGUGAACUAGCACAGACAAUCAACAAGUAGGAUCUACUCUUAUCAAAAAUCUUCUUUACAGUAAGAGAAACCACCAACAGUGUGAAGAGACAACCCACAAUGUGGGAAAAAUUUUUCACCUACAGUUCCUCAGACAGAGGUCUACUAUCUAGAAUCUAUAAAAAACUUUUAAAAAAUCAGACCUCCCAAAUUCAAAGACCCAGUCCAAAAAUGGACAUCUGAAAUGAACAGACAUUUCUCAGGCAAAGAAGUAGAAAUAGCAAAUAAACAUAUGAAAAAAUGUUUAACAUCACUGGUCAUUCGAGAGAUGCAAAUGAAAACAAAGCUGAGAUUCUACCUCACCCCAGAAGGAAUGGUUAUCAUGAAAUCAACCAAUAACAAAUGCUGGCGGAGCUGUGGGGAAAGAGGAGCCCUGCUCCACGGCUGGUGGGAGUGUAGACUGGUGUAACCACUGUGGAUAUCAGUAUGGAGAUACCUCAAAGGACUAGGACUGGAAGUCCCAUUUGACCCCACUAUUCCCCUGCUGGGGAUCUUCCCCAAAGAAUUAAAAGAAUCAUACCACAGUGAUAUAUGUGCACCCAUGUUCAUAGCAGCACAAUUUGUAAUAGCUGAAACUUGGAAGCAGCCCAUUUGCCCAUCAACUGGAGACUGGAUAAAGAAAAUGUUGUUUUUUUAUAAAAUGGAGUACUACUCAGCCAUAAAAAAUGAGAAAUUAGAGAGAUUUAUUGCUAAAUGGAUGUACAUUGAAGUGAUACUCUUAAGUGAAAUAAAUAGGACACACAUGUGUAAAUACCGAAUAGUUUCUCUAGUGUGAGAAACUGAAAAUGUGGGUAAGAACUAAAAGGUAUAAUAGAUAAUGUGAAAUAGGAAGAAAAGGGACAAGGGGGAAGGGGAAAUUGGAAGGGUAGGGGAUAGGGAAGAAGGAAAUGGAAUUAAUAUGAGAAAUUGAAGAAAAGGAAACAAAGUCUUUGUAAAUAGGGAGGGAUGGAGGGGUUGAAGGGAGGGCAGAGGGAUGGGGAAAAAAUAACCAAGAGAGAUUAUGUAAAGGUACAAAUUUCCAAUGAUGAAUGUCAUUAUAUUGUAUACCUAAAAUGUAUGAAUAAAAUUAAUUUUAAAAAAGAAUUAGAAAGAAAAAGGUAGCAGGAGAAAGAAACAGAAUAAAUUAAUAGUAUGAGACAUUCUUGCUGGACUGGUUAUUUAUAAUGUGAUUUUCCGAGAGAAUGACAGCCAGCUGAAUGAGAGAAAAUAUAAAAUCACUAAAUUUAAACACUGGUAUUGGAAAAUUGGAGACAAAAUGUAAACAAGCAUUUUGCCUAUUUCAUGUUUAUCACAUAAUCACAGCACUACCAUAUUUGGAGUAAAUAGCCUAAUAUUUGAUACAAACGUGACUGAUAUUUAUUAUAAUGUUUCGGAUAUGUAUAUUCAUAAAGCAAGAUUUUUAUCUGCUUGUCUUAUCCAAAAAUGAAUCUGAUGGAUGGUUUCCAAGCUGUAAUUUGGGUUUAUAAGAACGUAAAUACCACAUUAUAAUUGCGUUCCCAGUAGCCUUUAAGCUCAUGGAGAUUAGGCAUGGCUGAUGCCAGGCAACCUCAGGAGCCCUGGAGACAGAACUGCUCACUCCACAUUCCCAUGGGCCUCCCAUUCCUGAGAGUAUAUUUCAAGAUGUGUUUCUGUGAGGCUCAGAGACUUUACAGUUUUCUAGGGCCUUCCUCGAAGGCACCGUGCUUAUGCCUAAUGGAGGUUAAUGAUGUAACUGGUGAGAAUAUGAGGUUUCAACAGGAGCCCCAAGGAGAGACACCUUAUGCCCAACAUAUCUGUGCACCAAAAGCCUUCUCAAGGUAAGUGGUCCACUGGCCAUGAAGCAUGAGGGAUGAAUAGCUACUUCUCAGGGGAACAGAAGGUCAGGAAAAGGAGCAGUAGUCCAAGCAAAGGUGACUUGAAUGGCUAGGCAGGAGUUUAGUGAGGGUGAUAGGGCAUGUCCAGAAGAACUGGACAGAGAGAGCCAGAUGGAAAAAGUGAAAACUAGGGCUAGAGCUAGGGAGUAACCCUAACAUGAAGGGCCUAUGCAGAAGGUUAGAUUUUAUCUCAAGGAUGUUAUGCACUGAAUUGUAUCCCCUCAAACUCAUAUAUUGAAAGCUUAAUAGUUUAGUACUUCAGAAUGUGGCUGUAUUUAGAAAUAGUGUCCUUAAAGAGGUAAUUAAAAUGAGAUCAUUACUGUGGGACCUAACUCAAUGUGACUGAGGUCUAUAGAAGAAGAGAUGAGGAGGCAGAUACACAGAAGGGAGAAGUUGGCUACAACUACACAGCAAGGAGAUAGUCCUCAGAAGAAACUGGCAUGUUCAGUUCUGGCCUCCAGAACUGUGAGAAAAUAAAUUUCUGUGGUUCAAGUAAUCUAUAGUAUGUUAUUAUGGGAGCCCUAGGAAACUUCUGAGAAAGGAUCAGGCAAGGAGAGGAUAGUUAACUUUAUCUCAUUGAAAAUUCCCUCUGGCCUAUGAGCAAAAUGAAUUGAGGGAGAUAAGUCUGGAGACAACAGGUUCUGAAGCCACUGUAGUACCAUGAGUAUAACCAAGGAUUGCAGCUACCAUGGAAUUGGGGCAGACUGAGUGCAGCAAGCUGUGGGAGGUGCCUUCUAAACAGAUAACAUAUACUGUGUGUCUAUAGGUUGUACAAUACAUACUGUGUAACUGCAAGCCUUCAUGAUAGCACCCAGAAUAAGAGAUAAGUAAAGGAAUCAAAAGAAAGUCAUAGACUGGAGAGAUAUUUAGAGAAUACUCAAUUGUAUUUGAAGCCUGGUUGGAUGCUACCAGUGAGGAAGAGGAAGGACCAAAGGAUGAAGCUGUGUGCAGCCCUGGGCAGCUAGAGAGGUGAGGCACUUGGUGACUAAGAAACCAAGGAGGAAGAACUGGAUUGGAGAGGACUGUUUGUUUUGGCUACAGGUUUGAGGAACCAAAUGAAGAUAUCAAGUGAACAUUUUCAAUAAGAAGUUGGGUAUAUGAAGAUAUGGAUUUUCGUAUACUUCAUGAUUUAGAGGACUCUCUAUUUUAACCCAGGGGGGUUGAUAAGAACAGAAGGAAUAGUGUGUAAAACAAGAAAACAGCAUACAAGAAAUAAGCCCUCCUGAUAUCAAACUUCUAAGUUAGAGGCUCAGUAUGGGACUAUAGAGUGCAUGAGAAAACAGUUUUGCCAUUCCCUUCCCCUAUUCUACUCAGCCACUGCUUCUAAGUCCAGAUAACUCUUCAUAUCCAGCUCUAUGAGACUUGGGGAUCCCUGAAUGCUGAGAAAGUGUGAGCAUGGAGUGAUCUCAUUCACCCAGAAUCCACUAGGUACCUAUCAUAGGUAGUAUGUUGGUCAAUAAAAACAGUGAUGUUGCUUCCCAUUUUCAGAACAGUAAGAUGCUUAUAUUGUUGUAUUCCAUCAAUAGUUCUAGCAGCAGCAAGGAAGAGCAAGAUUAAAUUUUUGCCAGUAUCCCAGGGGAAAUCAGAAGAUCUCCUCUCAACAAUUUCCUAUACCUGUCUUGGUGAAAGAAUUUAAUUACCUCAGAUUCAGAAGGAAAGCAUAAUUCUGCAAAGUUCACUUUAGAUCUUCACUGGUCCUAUGCCUCUAGAAUGCCUUUUAUUUUUGUAUAUCAGGAAUCUUUCAAGUUAUAUUUUCUUCCCUCUCUCAGGGUUCUAAAUGUCAAAGAAAAAUAUUUUUUGAGUUUUGAAGGGCUCUUUCUAACACAAUUCUCUGACUCCUUAAGCAGGAUAUAAUGAGCAAAAUCCAUCUGUCAUUUACUUCCUGAAUUAGGUCACUAUUAUAAGUAUCAGUUAUUGAACAGAGUCAACACAUGGUGAUGUCUCAUUGACCAGAGCUUAAAAUAGCUGUGGAUCAAUACUCCCUCAGUUUGUCUUUUUUUUUUUUUUUUGACACUAACCAUUCUGAUAAGAAUCAUCCUUCAUAUAAAGGCUAGAAUGUAAGAUUUACAAGCAUGGGAGACUCUGGAAUAUCUACAAUGUGUAUAAAAUAAGAGAAAAUUGGGCUGGGGAUUUAGCUCAGUAGUUCCACCACCUGCCUUGCAAGUGCAAGGUCCUGAGUUCAAUCCCAGUACAAAAAAAAAGAAAGAGAGAGAGAGAGAAAAUGAACUCUUUGUUGAGGUCUUUGCAUGAAACUUUGGGCAUAGCUACAGAAAAUCUAUUUAGAUCUACAGAGAUCCUGUCAUGUAUUUUUGCCUUCUCCUGAAUUCAUAGCUGAAGUUGCAAGUUGGAAAAAGUAAACACAAAGUCAUUCUCUUCCUCCUUUAUUGUCACAUGUGAUCAAAUGUUCACCAUAAUGUAGCUGAAGGUGGUCCUUUGCAACUCAUAGUCCUGUGCUUGUUAUUUAUCUGAGUUGGAGUUCAGACAAUGGUAGUUAUCAUUCACUCUCCAAUUAUCUUGUCCCAUCCCUUAUAGUUAGUGGGAGACAUGGUUUUAGAAUUACGCUUUUAAGAAAGACAAUCUGAGGCAGGAAAUGUGUUCAUGGGAACCACAGCUAAAUCCUUGGCUUGUGCAUUCCUGCGGAGACUCCUUGGGGUCACCAGAAAGCAAUGAAUAGAACACAGGAAAGAAGGUUUAAUUUUUUCUUGAGCUCAAAGUACUAUAAUUUGCUAUAGAUGUAGAUGGAACCCCAUUACCAACCCCAGUCUGGAGAUAGUUAAGCAACACCUUCUAACUAAAGAUAUAUUCAAAUCCUUCUGGGAACCUGGAAUCAGAUUAUCUUGACAGUCUAAAAGAAUUCUUUAAACAUGAAAAUCACCAUUUAUGUUGAUGUUUGACUUAUGAUGGCAGUUUGUUCAGUUUAGUAAUUCCAUCAAGAAUGAAAACUUCUUAUGUAAUAUAUUAUAGGAAAGCAAGAAGGUUUACUCUUUUGGCAGGUAAAAAGAAGAAAGUAUCCAGCCAUGAUCAAGAAGCCAACAAUCCUGGAAAGAGCUGUAAAAUCCAAUUUGAAAGCAGUGAGAAGUCCAGAAUGAAUCAUCUAAACAUGUUAUUGUGAAAGAAUGGUGACGUGGAAGGACAGAGUAGACUCAAAUGGGAGAAAAAAGUUAAGGUAGUUUCUCCUAACUCUAGGUCAUUUGAUUCUAAUGCAUUCCAAGGGAUAUUCCAAGUUCUUUUAUUUUUUUUUACCCUUCUUCAACAUAAUUUUAGUUGAAAUGAGAAAGCAACUAGAAAGGCUUUGUUUAUAAAGAUGUGACAAAAUUCUAUCCAGUCUAGAGAGAGAAAAGAGAAAUUCCACAAGUGGAAAUUCUAGGAAACCUACUCUACAUAGAUGUUUGUGUCAUCACUCAACAUUCACCUGCCUUUGUUUUUUAAUCAUAUUUUCACAUGGAUAAGCUACCUAAAACACAGCCAGGUAUCUUUAUUAGGUGUAGUGAGAUUUUAUGUCCAGUACUUAUAAAUCAGGUAGGGGAGGGCAGAGCUGACCGUUCAAAGUCCAUUCUCUUGCAAUGCCUCAAGCAGUGUUUCUCAACUAUCAUCUACAUAAAGAUCUCCCAGAAUAUGUGAAAAUUCAGAUUCUGAUUCAGAAGGUCUAUGGUAGGGCCUGAGAUUUCACAUUUCCAUAUGACACUGAAGCUGCUGGUCCAAGUUACCCUUUUCAGUAAGUUGACUGUUCCUGUCAUGUCCUGUAGAUGGAGAAAAAUCCCAUUGCCAUUUCUCAUUUAGAGCUGUAAGAGAAGCCCAUCAUCCACAGAAGCAAUGAGUCUUCUUUGUAGUGCAUGGGUUUAAUUCUAGGCUCCUUGCAUUUGAUAUAUGAGCCUUAUAUAUGAUCACCAAUAUUUAAUAAAGAAAGAUGGGAAUAUACUUACAUAAUCCCCAUUAUUUGUCACAAAAUGAUAUGUUGAAAAAUACUGAAUUUGCUUAGAAGUCUUCAGUUACUGGCAAAUUAUCCAUAUUAAGCUUCUCAUUUCAAAUAUGCUUUACCAAAAAACUUGAAAAUUGUAUCCCAUCAUUUCAUAGAAAAGAGAGCAUUCAGUUGGGAUUCAGAAGACUUGAAACCAGUUCCCAGCUCUGCUAUUCACUCAUUAAGGACUUUGAGAAGCAUAUUCUACCUUUCUGAGGUCCAGAUGGAGUAUGAACAGAAUUGAUUAGAUACCUCUCUGAGAAUCUUUUUAGUUUUCAUGUUCCAUCCAAUACAGAAUAUACGGAAACAUAGCUUCUCACCAAUUAUUUGGAAGUUGCCUCAUUAGGGGUUGGGAUUAGUUGGAUACCAGCAGUAUCCAUGGCUUCACAUCGAUGGGAACAGAGAGGCGAAUGUGUAGUGGAUGCAGACUGUUGCUUUGAAGUCAGAGAGAGGUGGGUUCAAAUCCUGAGUCCUUGUGUCAUAUGAGUUACAUGGUAUUACAAAAAUGACUUUCUGUGUCUGAGUUUCAGUGAUACCAUCUGUAAAAUCUGAUCUAUAAAAUGUGUAAGAAAACAGAAUGGCUUCAUUGGAAUAUUACCAGUUGAGUAAUCAACUCUUCUGGGUUGCCUGAAACUGAGAAGUUUCCCAGAAGGUGGGACUUUCAAAAGCAGGAUAGUCCUAGGCAAGCUGAGAUGGCUAUCUACCCUAAAUUUACAAGUGCCACCUAAGUUAAGCCUGUAAAUCACUUCAAUAUGUAUUAGACAUGAUUACUAAGAAUAUAUAAAUAUAGGGGAGUUCAGGGUGACUUUUUAUUCAAGCAGUGUACAAUCCAAAAUUGUCUUGCCAAAUCCUGAUACUUUAAAGAGUAUAUGGUUUUCCUUCCUGAAUAAAAGGACUGUAAAUGUGACAUAUCAAGCAGUACAAAAUGGCUACCCUUUUGCAACAUAACAUCUUGAAUCAAAAGAUGAUGUCGUCUCUCAGUGACUGGCCUGCAUUAAGGGAUUCUGAUGCAGCUACAGGCUGAUAAUGGUGGUGUUCAACAAUCCUAUUGGAUGAGGCUCCAGUCAGGAAUGUGAGCAGCUGUCCUUUCUAAACCCCAUGUCACAUGCUGAGGCUAUGCCAACAUCCUUCUUUUCCAUCAAAACAUUCCAGAUCUCAUCCUUGUCAGGUCGUAUACAGAUAUGUCUCCUAGGAUUAGCAUAAACCCUGUCUCUUGCUAUUGUCUCAGGAAUUUGGAGAUUAUCUUUCUAGAAUGUCUCAUGUAUGCAAUUCUGCACAGAAAACUGAAGAAAACUUAGGAAUCAAAUUCUCUUCAUAUGGAUUCCACUAGACUAUAACCAGUUUUGCUUUGAGAGCUUUCUUCUUCUCUUCCUUUCUAAUCUCUGCCCACUUGAACUAUCCAGGCAUACGGUCUCUGAUGGAUCAAUCACUAUUAACCACCUCCCUCCCAACUCUGCCUUCUAUGAUUCUAAAACCUUAGUAAAUGUCAGCAAUUAGAGAACCUAAAAAUGGAGGUAGACAAGAUGCCUCUGAGAUCUGCAAAGCCUUACAAUAACUUGGUAUUAAGUGCUGAUUGAGUGGGCCUUUGGAUGUGUACUCUGGUUCAUUAGGGAGGCAGGUGAAGACUAGAGUGUGUCUGGGGAAAGUGUAGAUACAUACAGACAUACAGGUUGUGAAGUCUGUUAGCAGGAAGGAAACAUCCUAGGACUCAGAAAGUUUUCCUGUGUAUGUUCUCCAUCAUUCUGAAGACCCAGAAGCUCUAAAUUGGUCCAAUGCUCAUUCUAGAUUUUUGGCAGAAAGCCUGGUCCUACAGUGGAUAUGGAUGCCCCACAAAGUCAGGAAUGUUAAAGGGUUAGUCCCCAGACUGUGCCACUAUUGAAUGGUGGUAAAACAUCUAAGAGGUAGGACCUAGUGGGAGGUCUUUCAAGUCACCGAGGGUGUGCUUUUCAAAAAAUGAGACCCCAGCACCUUCUUCUUUCUCUCUUUUGUUUCCCAG